AUGAUGCGUAGCCGAACUGAGAGGUUGAUCGGCCACAUUGGGACUGAGACACGGCCCAAACUCCUACGGGAGGCAGCAGUAGGGAAUCUUCCACAAUGGGCGAAAGCCUGAUGGAGCAACGCCGCGUGGGUGAAGAAGGUCUUCGGAUCGUAAAACCCUGUUGUUAGAGAAGAAAGUGCGUGAGAGUAACUGUUCACGUUUCGACGGUAUCUAACCAGAAAGCCACGGCUAACUACGUGCCAGCAGCCGCGGUAAUACGUAGGUGGCAAGCGUUAUCCGGAUUUAUUGGGCGUAAAGGGAACGCAGGCGGUCUUUUAAGUCUGAUGUGAAAGCCUUCGGCUUAACCGGAGUAGUGCAUUGGAAACUGGGAGACUUGAGUGCAGAAGAGGAGAGUGGAACUCCAUGUGUAGCGGUGAAAUGCGUAGAUAUAUGGAAGAACACCAGUGGCGAAAGCGGCUCUCUGGUCUGUAACUGACGCUGAGGUUCGAAAGCGUGGGUAGCAAACAGGAUUAGAUACCCUGGUAGUCCACGCCGUAAACGAUGAAUGCUAAGUGUUGGAGGGUUUCCGCCCU
rnacentral:rRNA from 1 species